UGGGGAAUUUUGGACAAUGGGGGAAACCCUGAUCCAGCCAUCCCGCGUGUGCGAUGAAGGCCUUCGGGUUGUAAAGCACUUUUGGCAGGAAAGAAACGUCAUGGGUUAAUACCCCGUGAAACUGACGGUACCUGCAGAAUAAGCACCGGCUAACUACGUGCCAGCAGCCGCGGUAAUACGUAGGGUGCAAGCGUUAAUCGGAAUUACUGGGCGUAAAGCGUGCGCAGGCGGUUCGGAAAGAAGGAUGUGAAAUCCCAGAGCUCAACUUUGGAACUGCAUUUUUAACUACCGGGCUAGAGUGUGUCAGAGGGAGGUGGAAUUCCGCGUGUAGCAGUGAAAUGCGUAGAUAUGCGGAGGAACACCGAUGGCGAAGGCAGCCUCCUGGGAUAACACUGACGCUCAUGCACGAAAGCGUGGGGAGCAAACAGG
rnacentral:rRNA from 1 species